rnacentral:misc_RNA from 1 species
UUGAAUGUACCAGCAUACAUGCUUCAGAAUUUGCACGUAAUAUAUGGUUUCUCCAGAACAGGUAUACACUACAAGAAAAAGUGACUUCAAAAAUAAUAUGAAGUCCUUUUUAGCUUCAGUUUCUUAAACUAUAAUACAGGGCAGCUCAUAUUUCUUCAGUAACACUAAAACUUAAACAUCCCAUAGCCCAUAUUACACUUUAGUUUAUGCAGAUACUCAUCAUAAUCUAAUUACUACUGCGUUCGCAUCCUGCUAUUUUCAGCAGCCCUCACUUGG